rnacentral:pre_miRNA from 13 species
AUGUAUACACACGUAUAUACAUAUGUGUGUAUAUGUAUAUAUACACACACGUAUAUGCAUAUACGUGUGUAUAUGUA